GAUGAAGAACGCAGCGAAAUGCGAUAAGUAAUGUGAAUUGCAGAAUUCAGUGAAUCAUCGAAUCUUUGAACGCACAUUGCGCCCGCCAGUAUUCUGGCGGGCAUGCCUGUUCGAGCGUCAUUACAACCCUCAGGCCCCCGGGCCUGGCGUUGGGGAUCGGCGGGGCCCCCCGUGGGCACACGCCGUCCCCCAAAUACAGUGGCGGUCCCGCCGCAGCUUCCAUCGCGUAGUAGCUAACACCUCGCGACUGGAGAGCGGCGCGGCCACGCCGUAAAACACCCAACUCUUCUGAAGUUGACCUCGAAUCAGGUAGGAAUACCCGCUGAACUUAAGCAUAUCAAUAAGCGGAGGA
rnacentral:misc_RNA from 1 species